rnacentral:lncRNA from 1 species
CAAAAGACGAGAAAAUCAUAAAGCCCAAAUUUUUCUUAUGACCGUAGUGUAUAUUGAUUCUAUCUUUACCUAUUUACGUUUUUCCUCCUCCAAAUUUGAGUUGUGACAGGAGAAAACAAGAUGUAUACAACAAUGUUUGGGGGCUUAGGUUCCAAGCCCGUGAUUAGAAACACAGGGCCCGGAAUUGUAUGAAUGAUAUUGAGUCCAAGCUCAACCCCCUAUUACCAGACAAUCCUGUGAAGAGUAAGUAUCGUCACAAAUUCAUAUUACAUUAUUAUGGAUCCAAAUCCCCGUCAAUAUUCUCAAACCGAGGAGUCGAGUUGCACAUACAACAGAUAAAAACCACGAAUAAAUACAGCAGUGUAGCCUGAAUAAAGAAGAGGGCUCGAGAGUACGUAGCUUACAUGGCGACACAAUACAGAAGGUAGAUAGAUAGAUAUCCCCAUUAGCAGCAGCUUUUUAUUUAUUACCUGUGUUUGUUGAUUUAGAUGCUGCGGAGUUAUCUUUUUUUACAUAAAAUGAAAAGUCUUUUUUAAAUGACUUCUAUUCGGUCAUUUGGUCGUCUGCAGCAACGUUGAGAUCCACAAGCAUCUUCUUUCCCCUCGCGUUUCGAUUCUUUCCGGUUAUCUGUAAGUGCAAUGAAAUAACUAAUCGUUGCGAUAAUUAAAGCUUUAUUACUCUUUAUAUGUAUAGAGUUUUGAGUUUGAUUAUAUACCUCCUCCAGGCUCCUUUUUUCUUCUGCCAGGCUCUUUUCCUGUUUCAUAUAAAGCAUCAUCUAUGUGAGUUUCUUUACGUGAAACGAAAAGAAGUAGUUGACUUGCGUAAGCUCUAAAGUAACAGAAAAAAAAAAGUCGGAGAUUGUAGUUUGAUAUAUAUAUGGCUCUGUCUUAUCUAUAUCUGAGUUUUAAGAUUGUUAGAAUCUCGUGAUGUCAACUUCUUGCACCAACUGCCUCAAGUACGAUAGAUGUGUUACAAUAGUCGCUCAUCUUAGAUGAUAUCUAAGUGCCUAGUUUUUUUAGGUUGACUUUUUCGACAGAGUGACUUCACUAUUAUGACUUUUUUAGUGUGUGUGUAUGUGUGUGUGUGUGUGUGUGUGUGUUCCGAGAAAAUGGUCGGGCUGAUUCCACCUGCAUAUCAUUAAUACAUAUUUGAAUGAAUCAAUUUAUAGAUCUGUUUUGCAGCAGCCUCUAUUACGCGUUCGAAGGUUAUAAAAUAAGGUAGUAAAACAAACACUAAUUACGCUCGAUGCUACAAAUUUCUUUAAAAAGAAACACAGUUGCUAGACGAGCAUCUAUUUGGUUUCGUGAAGAUAUGACAUCUUCACGACACCCUUACUAAAAACCAUAUUGUCAAACUUUAGUGUAAAUAAAAGGAAAAAUGAUUUGUUUAUACUAUUUCGUGCCCGUCACAAGAUAUGGAAUCAAGAUUUAUGCACGCAUGCUAUUGUGAAAUUAAAGAUUUAUCAUUUAUAUAUUGGACAUAAAUUAAUUAAUGUUAUCUCCGUUUUGCAGAUUGGAAAAAAAAAAAACAGUGCACCAGAAUCAAGCAUGGAAAGCUCGUUAAUACCUUUAAGUACACAGCACUGUCUCGACAAUUCAACGUGUAAAUUUCACAUAUUUGAAGGUUAUUAAGUUCAUAUAUUCUUUUUCUUCUUGAUUUAUUUACCCUAAUCGGAAAAUCCAAGCUUAGUUACUCAGAUCAGAAAAUGAAUAAACUCAGCUAUAGGGACCAAAUGCAUGCAUAUGCAUACAUACUCUAGGCAAUUCUGAGUUGUAGUUGGGGAAAAUACACUUUUCGUCCUUUUAGUUUACCUCAAUUUCACAUUUGGUCCUCUUUCUUCACAAAAAAACCAGAUUUAGUCCCUCAUGUUUCAAAACCUAACACUUCUGGUCAUUUCCGUCAAUGUGCCGUUGGCGGACUCACGGAAAGGACCAAAUGUGUUUAAUUUUUUUAAACACUAGGGACUAAAUCUGUUUGUUGUAAACAAGGGGACCAAAUGUGAAAUCGAGGUAAAAUUGAAGGAUGAAAAGUGUAUUUUUACUUCUUGUGUGUGCAGAUAAGUCAAGUAUACACCCAAUGGUAAAAAUUGAAAUGGUAAUCAAACCCUUUGGCUAUUUAAAAGAAAAACACGUACACACACAAUAAAUGGUUGAUCUUUGUUAGGUUUGUUAGGUGUAUAUGUAUACAUUAAUAAAGUGUGAUUUUUUUUAUUUUUUUUUAGGGUGAGAAACACGUAAUUCAGUGAUAGUGGAACAAAUUGUACGCCAUAUAUCAAUAUAUAAAGAUCAUAGAUCUGCAUACCUCUUCACGAAGGCUUGAUACAGUAUCGACCAUCCUCUGUGUCUGCAAGAAGAAGAAAAUUCUUGUAUCAAUUCACAAUAUGUUUACGUACAUGCCGACAAUUUUUACAUUUUUAUUUUUUUAGGUUGACAAAAAUCGGAAAGAAGACACUAUACGGACCAAACUUUAGCUCAUGCAUGCAAGUAAUUUUUAUUACCGUCUAUUAUUUUUCUUCUUUAUUACCCUGAGGUUAAAAAACAGGGCAUCACAAAGGAUUUUCGCAUGCAUCAGCGUAAUAUAACAAAAAUCGUCCCAUUCAAAUUUGCAGGAUAAUGCAAUAUGAAUUUUCACCGAACCCACGAUUCUCAAGGUAAGUAACUCUCUUUCAACUCAUUAUACAAUACUCUAAAUUAAAUAAUUGUAUAUUUUUUUUUUUACGUGGCUGUGUGAGAGGUUUAACAUGUUCAUACACAUAACAUCCAGCAAAACCGGUACUUGUAAAGAAAAAAAAUGUAAAUAUAGGAAGAAAAAGAACAUAAUAUGUAGAGAUGGAGAAACUGCAGAGCGUAAUAAUAAUGAUAUUUAGAGUGAUGGAGGGCAAACGAAACCUUAGCAGAUCUUGUUUGACUUAUUGCAGCCUCGAUUUCUUUCUGUAGAAGCAUAAGAUCCGUCACACUUAGUUCGUCAAGUUCCCUAUCGAUACAUAUUUUGAGUUAAUCAAUAAACGCCCGAUAAAGUUCCCAUUUAAUUUUUAGACCAGACCGUAAAAGAAAAACCGUUAGUUACCUUUCAACAUCUCGAAGUAACUCCUCACUUGUAAUAGAGUUGUUUGACUGCCCCUGAUUUUAUAUAUAUAACCAAAAUAUUAUCCCGGAUUUUAGAGUGUGUUCGAAAUCCCAUUCCUUGACCAAGUCAACACAUAAUUAAGUGCGGAAAAAUAUCCCAUUUCGAAGAACUCGAGUUAGAUGAAUAUUAAUUCGACGUGAAAAAAUCGGGAUCACCUUUGCCUCGGAAGACCUUGUAGAGCUUUCAGCUUCAUCUUUAUAUCGUUGAAGAACUGGCUCUAUGCUGGAAAACCGAUAAACAGUGUGUGAGAUACGGUGAUGCUCGUGUAAUUAAAAAAAAAAUAAAAAAAAAAAUCCAUGACGUAAAAUAAAAUAUAUAGAAAACAUCUUAAAAUCUUAAUUUCAGCUAAUCUACUCUGCGGCGUUUUAGCUAUCUGCAUACAGGUACUAAUCAACAUCCCUAAAAUAACUAUUAUAUUUUAUUGCUUUUCAAACAUAUACGCAAAAUAUGUGUAUUAAUAACUCGGUUCCUGAUUGUUUAGCUAAUACUACAUACGAUUGUCCUUCAUUGCAAGUAUAAGAGAAAUCAUUUAUUGAAAAAUACGAAUUGGCGCUUCAUGGACUAAUUUUAGCUUCCCCUGUUCGAACAUCAUUUUUCGAAAAGCUAAAAUCGUAAUAAAAAAAAAAAAAAAACUCUUGAAGACAAAUAUACUUCACUACAUACGAAUGAGGAAUGAAACAAGCAUUCAAGGAAGUCAAUGUUAAGUCAACAAACAAAAUAUGUAGAAUACACCAUAAUCUAGAUGUAACACCCCACCAUCUUAAAUUACAGUAGUAAGUUGUGCUGUAGAGAGGUGAAAGACAAAUUCAGUGUGCAUAACUUUAGUGCCAAAUAUGGUGCUCGGAAAUAAUCGAGGUGAAAUUACAAUAAUCGGCAAAAUUAAUGCGCGCGUAGCAUUUCUUAAAAUUAGUGUGCAUAACAAACCGACCUCGAGUACUAAUAUAGGCGCCUUGAUGCUGAUACAAAAAUCUAGACAACAUAUGAGUUUUAUUGGGGCAAACUAAAUUAUGUGAUGUGCAAACAUAUACCAAAGCAACACUAUUGUUAGAACAAGGCCAGGCCCACAUCUGAUUAAUAAUGUAAAUCAACAUAUUGUUUCAUGUCAAGUAUGAGAUCAUAUAACACAAAGUUUUACAAACGAUUUUCUAUUUUUUUCCUAAAUUACAACUUUUCAAACAAAAAAAUUCAUCAACUAAAACGAAAGUUGCACCCGCUAUAAAUAGCAUUUUCUAUUGUGAAAAGAUAAACACAAAAUACUAAAUUAUGACAUUACCCCCAUUGGAGAUGCUCUUAGAGCUAGGGGUGUAAUUUGGCACGUUUGGUGAGCCCCAACUCGACUUGAGUUUGAUGAGCCUGAGCUCAUCAAGCUAUUUUAAGUUCAAGGCUUCGAGCUCACGGAACAAUGAUACACUAUGAGCUGCUAGCUCAUUUUGUUUUGUUCUAUUUUAUUUUUAAAAUAUUUUAUUAGGGACAAAAUGCACUCCACCCCUUGGAAUUUUCAAUUUUUGCGCUUGCAAAGUAAAAAAGAUCCCUCCCUCAAAAUUUUGUUCCAGUUGCACUUUGCCUCAAAUUACAAUGUACGGCGUAGUUUUUACCAUCAUUGCCAUGAAUCCGUCCAAUUGAUAGAUCACCUUAAUAGCUAUCAACAUAAGAAGAAUGUGAAUAUUCUCUCACUUUCGGGAGCACGAUAGGCAUAAUUAGUUUCGGGAGGAGAAAACCCAAAAAAAAAUUCCCGAAAUUAGUGAAACGAAUUGCAUUCUUCAUCUAUUAGAAAAAAUAAGUACAUUAGGAUUUGGAUGGAACACUGAAAAGACUCAAAUGCCCUUGAAGUGGACAGAUAAAUGGCAAUUUGGAUGAAAAACACGUCGAAGAUUAAAAUUUUGGAACGGGGAGAAUCUUUUUUUUUUUUUAGUGGGGUUAGUACGAAAAUUAGAAGUUUAAAGAGGGCAAUAUGCUUUUUGCUCUGUUAUGCAAACAAAAACUUCAACUAAGAAAGUAUGACACAAGCGAGGAGCUACGUGAUAGCGUACAACCAAGAAAAUGUCAUCGCGUAAAUGAUUGUCUUCAACUUUGAGGUUAAACCUUCAAGAUAACCUAGAAAAUUUGUUUUAAGAGGAAUUAGAGAGAACCUCCUUGGACCUAAAUAUCGAAAAACCAAAGAACAAACCCAAAAAAAAAAAAAAAAAAAAAAAAAAAAGUCGUUUCAAAGAACAAAACAAUUGCUUUGGUUUUUUUUUUUUUUUAUAAAAUUGAAUCAUCCUUUUCAUGUAUUGUGCAAAGGGUGAAUAAUCGUACCAAUAAAAUAACUUUGUUUUGGGUUAUAAAUAUAUUAUUUGACCAUAAUAUAAUACAUAUAUCUUUCAAUUACUAGUCUCACUCUAAGUACCAACGUUUUGUGCAUUCAUUAGUAACCGAAUCAGGUAGUAACUAAUCUCUCUUACUUGAGUUCAUGAUUUUAAUCAUGCAUUUGGUGAAAUUAGAAAAAAUAGUGUAAUAUAUCACCAACAUUAUGUGAAGUCCUAUGGGACUAAGUUUUUAUAAUGUUUUUAUUGCAUUUAGUUGGUUAAAUGAAACUAAAUGUAAAUUAUUUCGUGUGAACAUAUAAUUGCUAAUAAACCGAAGAAAAGAAAAAAAACCGAACGUGAAUAAAAGAAACCCAAAAUCAAAUGAAACCAAGUUGAUCUAAAACCGACAUAUAUGUUUUAUAUCUUACAAAAACCGACAUAUAUUUUUAGUUCACGUUGAUUUUAGCCGAAAAUUGAACCGAACAAAGCCGUGCACACCCCUAGAUACGAUUUCUUCUUUUUUCUUGAAGGCAAUGUCGAUUUGUUGAAGCCACACUAGCUCGCUGGCUGGCUAAGGAUGCUAAUACCUUAUACUCUUCACUAUGGUCUAAAAACGAAUGCAUGUUGCUUGGCUUUCGAUCAAAAGAGUGAUUCACAAGGAACCCAAUAAUAGAUCAUCACAUUAGCAUGCGUCUCUAAAAACGAAUAAAACCGUGUAAUCCCUAAAAGGUAAAUAUGUAUUGGGAGAGAUCCUCUGAUAACUAUGCAAUCCUCCUUACCCAAUAACUAUGCCUCUAAUUUUUCCCUAAUUUUUGAUAAAUAAAAUAAAUUUAAAAUAAUAAUAAUAAAAAAAAAAAAAAAAAAAAAAAAAAAAAAACCCAAAUCCCCUGUCCAAAAUAAUCCAGAUUGAUGAGAUGAACACAUAAAUAAUAAAGUUCAACUGUAUAUAUAAAUAAAAAUAAAUAAAAAAAAAUAAUAUCCAACUAUAUGAAUCAGAAAACCUCAUUAAUAUCACCUUUUAAAAUAAGAUCAUCACCAUAUAAACAACAGGAUAAAAAAAAAUUAAAAAAAAAAAAAAAAAAAAUUUGAAGUUUUCACCUGUCAGUGCUACAGUACUGAAAAAGCUUUCCCCUGUUGGAGAAGAUGAUGGCGGCCACGUCGACAUCGCAGAGAACAGAUAACUCCUUAGCUUUCUUAAUCAGACCGUUUCUUCUCUUCGAGAAACAAACCAUUCUCGCACCGUUGUCCUCGAUUCGCUUUAUCUCCAAUUUCUUUCUCCCCAUUUUUCGGAAUCUGUUUACCCAAUUUCUGUUUAUCCUCGCACGCAGGCUUACAGUAUAUGCGUGCUGGUGUGUGUGUGUGUGUUUGUGUGUAUUUGAGUAGUUGCUCAGGAGGCCGAAUAUGUAUGUAUGUAUGGGAAUCAGAAGAAACUUUUCAUAUUUUUUUAUUUUUUUUUUAAUUUUUUUUUUGGGGGGGUUAAUCAUCCUAAUAAUCACCAUUAGUGUUCCUGUACACUGUUUGUGUAUAAGAUCUGCAUAAAUCACAUACUAUAUUAUAUUAUAUUAUAUGCAUAUAUAAUGUAAAAUAUCUGAAUUGCUAAAUAUUUAUCUUUUCUUUUUUAUUUAUUUAUAUAUUAUUAGUACAGAAAACAGCACUGGGAAGAGUGUACACGUGGCGUACAAAAACAACCAGGAGCUGCCACGUGGAGUGUAAAUAUCUUCUGAGACAGCAGCGGCGUGGGAGAGGGUCGGUUUAUAUUCCGACACUUCUUUAUGCGAUGGCAUAUUGUAAAUAAGUUCAUAAAUGGCUACUUAUUAUAAAAGGGUAUAGAUAAAAAAUUAUUUUAUAAAAAAUUCACAUAUUGAUGGAGGUUUGUAAAAUAUUAAAAUAGUCCAUCACAUUUUAAUAUGUUUUAAUUUCAUCAUUUAAUUCAAUUUAAUCUCAAUUUGACCCCAAAUUUCAUAAAUUAUUCAAUUUUAACCUGAAAUACAAUUUUGAGUACAAUUUUGCCAGUCGCUUUUUUUUUUUUUUUUUUUUGCUUCCGCCGCCGCUGACCAGCGGUCGACGUUGAUUUUUAUUUUAUUUUUUUAUUUUUUUUCUUUAACAUCUUUUUGCCCCGUUUAAACAACAAUAUUGAUGUGGUUGACAGUAAUAUUAACUAUAUUAUUGUUAAACACAGUAAUAUUAACUGUACUACGAUUUAACAAAAAUAAUAUUGUUAUAUUAAUCUCUAGCACAAUAAUAUUAACACAACAAAAGUCAUUAUUAUUGUGUAAUAGAGUAAUAUUAAUAUGUUGACCGUUCAACAAGGGUAAAUAUAAUAAAAAACCAAAAAAAUUAAUAUUGAUGUGGUUGACAGUAAUAUUAUUGUCAUUCACAGUAAUAUUACUGUAACAACAAUAAUAUUACCGUCAACCACAAUAAUAUUAUUGUGUUUACAAUAAUAUUACAGUAAUAUACAAUAAUAUUAUUACGUUAAUCCGUCAACAACUCAAAACAAAAAAAAAGCAAAAAAAUAUUGAUGUGGUUGACAGUAAAAUUAUUGUGUUCCGUCAACGACAGUAAUAUAAUUACGUUGACUUGUCAACACAUCAAACAAAAAAAAAAGUCAAAAAAAUAAUAAUAUUGUCGCUGACUGUAAUUAUAUUGUCAACGACAGUAUAAUUACUGUCCGCAAUAGUAUAAUUACUGUUAAUGACAGUACAAUUACGGUCAACGUUUAGCGGCGUGCGUAAAAGAAUAGAUAAAAAUUUUAGGAAAAAAGUCAACACCGGUGACCGGCGGUCAACCUCGAAAACCGGCGGCGAUAAAGCAUACAGAAUUUUUUUUUCGAAAAAGUCAACGCCGGAAACCGGCGGCAAAAAAAAUAAUAUCAGAAAUAAAAAAGUCAAAAUUGGAUUUUUGUGGUCAAAAUUAAUUAAAUUGGGGUUACAAUUAAGAAUUAAGUGUAAAUGGUUGGGGGUAAUUUUGUUAUACACAUUAAAUUUUCAUUUAUUUAUAAUACAUAUUAAAUGGAUGAGCUCUUUGAAGAAAAAAAUAUAACCCCUAAACUUAGAAUAAUAAAGAUAUUUUGGUCAUUGACUUAUUAAAAAAAAACCCUCAAAUUAAGGUUGAUGGGCCAAAAUGGGCAACGACCUACUCAAAUACCCAUAAAUUAUUAACAAUUUAAUGGGCUUGUAAGUAUGAAAAAAGUAUAGGCCGCCGCUACUCGAAUACUUGUUUCAUUAAGUGUAAUAUCAAUUAAAAGAAGACUACAAAAAAACACCAUGAAAUGACUGAUGUACCCAUUACUUAUUUUUCCCUUGUUUUUUUUUGCAAGAUCAAAAAACAAGGUAUAAGUUUCCAAAAAAAAAAAGAUUUUUGUGCAUAAGUUCAUAACCAAUCUAUCUUUAUUAUUCUAGGUGUUAUGGGCUAUAUAUCUUUCACCAUUAAGCUCAUUCCUUUAAUAUUUAUUAUAAAUAAAGGAAACAUUCAUGUAUAUGACAAUAUUAUCCCCAACCAUCUAUACACAAUUCUUAAUUGUAACCCCAAUUUAAUCAAUUUUGUCCACAAAAAUCCAAUUUUGACUUUUUUUUUUUUCAAAAACUUUUUUGUUUCAAAUAAAAAAAAUUUGCCGCUGGAUACCGGCGUUGACUUUUCGAUUUUUUUUUUCCGCUGCCGGAUUCCAGCGUUGACCGCUGGUCUCCGGUGUUGACUUUUUUUAGUGUUUUGUUUAUUUUUUUUUUGCGUCCGCCGCUAAACGUUGACCGUAAUUGUGCUGUCACUGACAGUAAAUUAACGUAAUUAUACUAUCUAUGACAGUUAAUUAACGUAAUUGUACUGUCGUUGACAAUACAUUUAUGUAAGCGUUCUGCCGUUGACAGUAAAUUAACGUAAUAUUAUUAUUUUUUAUUUUGUGUCAUUUAUUUUGAUUUUGUUUGAUUUGUUGACAAGUCAACGUAAUUAUAUUACUGUCGUUGACAGUAAAAUAACUGUUAAAACAAUAAUAUUACUGUCAACAACAUCAAUAUUAUUAUUUUUUUGGGUUUUUUGUUUUGUUUGAGUUAUUCACGGAAUAACGUAAUAAUAUUAAUGUCUAUUAUUGUAAUAUUACUGUAAACACAAUAAUAAUACUGUGGUUGACGGUAAUAUUACUGUUGUUAUAGUAAUAUUGUUGUCAACCACAUCAAUAUUAUUAUUUUGUUUGGAUUUUUUUGUUUGUUUGAGUUAUUCACGGAGUAACGUAAUAAUAUUACUGUCUAUUAAUUAUUGUAAUAUUAUUGUGGUUGACGGUGAUAUUACUGUUGUUAUAGUAAUAUUACUAUCACUCACAGUAAUAUUAAUUAUUUUGGCUUUUUAUUAUGUUUACAUUUGUUGAACGUUAACAUAGUAAUAUUACUCUAUUACACAAUAAUAAUGAGUUUUGUUGUGUUAAUAUUACUGUGCUAGAGAUUAAUAGAGCAAUAUUACUAUGUUAAACUGUAGUAUAGUUAAUUUUACUGUCAAUCACAACAAUAUUGCUGUUUAAACGAGAAAAAAAAAUGUUACAAAAAAAAAAAAAAAAAAAAACCGAAAAAGUUAACGUCGGAGACCAUUUCACGAAAUAUAGAUGAUUAUGUUGAAUUUGACACCAUAAGAGUGGAAAUACAAGAAGAUUCAUAGUUGAGUAGUAGAUGUUUAUCCAAACAAGAACGGUUUUUUCGUAAUUUGACCAUACUUCAGGGGUGGUUGUAAUUUACCUAUAAAAUAUCAUAAAUAUUGUUCAAUUUUCUAUCCACUCACUCCCUUAUACUUGCUUAGUCCUCCUAUAUUUUAACGUGUUAUUUUUUUCUUUUUUUUCUAUGAAAUAUUUAUUGCAAGUCAUUUAAACUUGGGUAAAUGGGAAAUAUGGCUAUACGAGGGUACUUAAUUAUAAAAAAUGACAUCCAACUUUUUGUCUUCCAAAUAAUUUCAGCUCAUUCAAACUUAUUUGCAAAUAUGGAAAACUAUUUUACAUAUACCAAAAUUACUCUCAAUUCCUUGAAACCCUAAUUCAAUCCCAAUUUCACGAUUUACACUCCAAUUUUGCCCAAUUUCACCAAUUAACCAAUUUUGACCCCAAUUUUACUGUUCGGGAAAGUAAUAUUCAUAAUAUUACUGUCCUGUUUGGGACAGUAAUAUUAGUAUUAUUACUGUUUUGAUAUUCAAUAUUACUAUUUCAACAAUAAUUUUGUUAUUAAAGUAAUUUAGAGAGAAAAAAAAUUAAAAAAAAAAGUCAACGCCGGAAUCUGGCCCGAAAAAAAAAUUAUUUUCUGAAAAAAAAAAAAAUUUCAAAAAAAUAUUAAAAUGGGAGUUAAUGUGAUAUAUUUGUUCAAAUCUGGGGUCAAUGUGUAAUAUUGAAAAAUUUAGAGUAUUAUGCAUGGAAUUGAUAAAAAUUAUAUUAUGGAGGGUAUUUUAAACAAAAGACAUGGGUAUGAGUUUAUUUGCAAGAUUGUUUUUUAUCCGGACUUAUAUACAUUUAAGUCCCUUGUCAAGGGCCUCUUUGUCAUUCGCCUUUUAAACUUUCAUAUUAAAUGACCUAGAGAUAAUGUAACUUGUGAUAAUGACAUUUCAUCCAAUUUUGCACAACAAAAAUGUGAACAGUAAAUUUUAUAUAGUUAGCCGAAGGUUGGGUUGAUCCUUUCCAAAAUUAAACUUAAAAGGGUAAAACAAUUCUAAUAAUCAUCUAAUUUGAAUCAGUUUCUGGGCAAAUUGCGCUGAAUAAAAUGUAACCUAUUUUUUAAGGGGUUUUUGUAAGUCCCCGACCAACCAUCUUUAUUAUUCUAGGUUUAGGGAUUAUAUCUAUUUCGCCAAUAAACUCAUCCCUUUAAUAUGUCUUAUAAAUAAAGAAAAAAAUAAUGUAUAUGACAAAAUUACUCCCAACCCUUUUACACUCAAUUCUUAAUUGUAACCCCAAUUUAAUCAAUUUUUACCACAAAAAUUCAAUUUAUAUAUAUAUUUUUUAAACUUUUUUUUUUCAAAAAUUAGUUUUUUGCCGUCGAGCUCCGGCGUUGACUUUUCGAUAUAUAUAUAUAUAUAUAUAUAUAUAUUCUAGUUUGUUUUUUCCGCCGCCAGUUUGCGGCGUUUACUAUUUUUAGUGAUAUUUUUUUUCCCAUAAAUUUUUUAUCCGUCUUCUUAUGCCCGCCGCUAAACGUUGACCGUAAUUGUAUUGUCAUUAACAGUAAUUAUACUGUCACUCACAAUACAUUAACGUAAGUAUAUUGUCGUUAACAGUACAUUAACGUAAUUGCACUGUUGUUGACAGUACAUUAUGUAAUUGUACUGUCGUUGACAAUACAGUUAGACUGAACGACAAUAUUAUUAUUUUUUUAGGUGUGUGUGUUUUUUUUUUUUUUUUUUAAUUUUGUUUGAUUUGUUAAAAGUCAACGUAAUUAUAUUUUUAUCGUUGACAGUAAAAUAACUGUAAACACAAUAAUAUUACGGUCAACCGCAUUAAUAUUAUUUUUUUUUGGGUUUUUUGUUUUGUUUGAGUUGUAGAUGCAGUAACGUAAUAAUAUUACUGUCUACUAUUGUAAUAUUAUUGUAAGCACAAUAAUAUUACUGUGGUUGACGGCAAUAUUACUGUUGUUACAGUAAUAUUACUGUCAACCACAGUAAUAUUAAUUCUUUUGACUUUUUAUUAUGUUUACUUUUGUUGAACGGUCAACAUAUUAAAAUUACUCCAUUACAAAAUAAUAAUGACUUUUGUUGUGUUAAUAUUACUGUGCUAGAGAUUAAUAUAGCAAUAUUAUUGUGUUAAACUGUAGUAUAGUUAAUAUUACUGUGUUUUAAAGUAAUAUAGUUAAUAUUACUGUCAAUCACAACAAUAUUACUGUUUAAACGGGGGCAAACAAACGUUACAGAAAAAAAAUAAAAAAAAUAAAAAAAUCGAAAAAGUCAACGCCGGAGACCGGCGGAAAAACCAGGAAGAAAAAAAAAAAAGUUCACGGCGGCGAUAGACGAAAUUGUCAAAAAAAUUGUGUUUUGGGUCAAAGUUAAAUAAUUUGUGAAACUUGGGGUCAAAUUGAGGUUAGAUUAAAUUAAAUGAUGAAAUUGAAGCAUAUUAAAAUGUGAGGGGCUAUUUUAGUCCUUUAUAAUGACCAUGUGUAGACUUUUUGGUAAAAUAGUUUUUUUGUCUGGACCCCUUUAUGAAUAAGUACCAAUUGAUGGGCUUAUUUGUAAAGUGCCCAUUUUUAAAGGCUUAAUCCCACUUUGCACCCAUGAAAUAUACCAUUUUGGCACUUUGCACCCUCAAAAAAUAAUAAUAGCACUUUGCACUGUCAAAACACAACAAAUCAUUCACAAUGCACCCUGAAUUGAAUAAUAAAGACAAUUUCAUUUUUCAAUGGUUUUUUUUUUCGGGGUGCAAAAUAAAAAAAUAAAUUGUUAUGUUCUUGAACCUCCAACCUAAUUUCGAGCGGACAAAGUGAGAAAAAAUAUAAAUUACACUGGAUUAUUUAAAAAAACUAUAUUUUCUUAGAAAAGUAAAAUAAAAUAAACUUUGUCACUAAAUUAUUCGAUUGAUUGAUGAUUCUUUUAUUGUAACUCGUUAAAUAUAUUAGGUAAAAUUAUUAAACAAAAAAUUGGAUCAAAAAGCCAAGGCGCUGAGGGAUGGAGGGGUUAAUAAAUAAAUAAGUGGUACAAUUGUCCUAACCAUAGUUUGCCACGUGUAACGCAAUGAGCGUGGUCAAGUGGAAAGAAAUAUCUUUUGAAGGGCAGACCAGUGUUGCCAAAUCAGAUUCAUAAUUACAUAUAUAUAAAAAUAAAACUGUAUCUACUGUUGGGAUUUCACUAAUAUUAGCUCAUCGAUCUUUAAACCCCCCCCUCUCUCUCCUCUCUCUCUCUCUCUCUCUCUCUCUCUACGUAUACCAACUUGUCAGAUAGCAGCAAAUACGAAAUAUGAUUCAAUGUUGUCAAAAAGGUAUGACGAAACCCUAAAAUCGGAAGCUGCCGUAAGGGGUUGCGGUGGGUUUUUUCCGGCGCGUGGGGGGAAGAUGAGUUUGUUUCUAGGGUUUUGUACAUGUGUGGAAGUUUCUUUAAUUUGUUUGGUAAUAAUAUAAUGGCUGAAAGCAUUCGAAGCAUGUGAUAAAAACCUCGAGUUUUCUGUAAGCUUAUUAGAACUGCUUCGAAGAUCCGCUUUUUUUUUUUUUUUUUUUUUUUUUUUUUUUUUUUUUUAAUUCUUGUAUUAUUGACAUGAAAGUGUUUUUCGCAUUUCUUGGCAGAUUUACUCGUGUGUGUGUGUGUGUGUGAGAGAGAGAGAGUUUUGGUAGGAGCUAUAUAUAUAUAUAUAUAUAGGAGAGGAAGUGUUAAAUAUUAAUUAAGUUAAAGCAGAAGAAUAAUAAUUAGUAGAUGGAAUUUCAGAAAUAAAUUAAAGAGAUAAUCUCAAAAUAUAUUUGUUGUCCAAAACCCACCAAACCGCCUGCUAAAUGGAUAUACAUGGAGUACUAAAUAUAUACAUGUAUGUAUAUAUGUGUGUGUGUGUGUGUUUGUGUGUGUAUAGCAGGCCAGUAUGCCACCUCUUCACUUUGAGUAUAGAAAGUGAAUAUUGCUCCUGCAGGUACGCCGUACGCCUCUCUCCCUCCCUCCCUCUCUCUCUCUCUCUCUCUCUCUCUCUCUCUCUCUCUCUCUCACACACACACACACACACACAUAGAUACACAUAGAUACACAUAUCUUAUGUACUUGGCUUUCAAAUCAGGAAUAGCAAAAUAAUUUGAGAUAAGGUCGGCAUGCAUUUGGUGUUCAUGUCAUUAUUAGAAUUGAGGUGUUCUUGAAAAUAGUUUUGGAAAAAAAUGUUGUAGCAACCAAAUUAUGUGUAAAAUGUUGCAAGUAGUAGUUUUUAUCUAUAUUUUUGUGAAGAAUUUUUUGUUCUUUUUACUACAAAGGCCGAAUCCCUCUCGGCACACAUUAUUAUAGAUUUUUAGAUCGAAAAUUGCGGAAUUUUUUUUUGAGGAUGUUAUGUUAUAUUGUUCGGACGGGAAAAUGUAAAGAAUUCGUUUCCACUAGCUUGUGAAAGGAGAAAAAAAGAUGAAGGAAUGUGUUAACCAUUUUCGAGUUUUUUCGAUGUUGAUCGGAAAGAAAGAAAAGAAGAAGAGUCGGUUGAGUAUUAUAAGUGUAAAAGUUGAUAGGUACACAAAAAAAGUAGUUUCUUCACUUGACAUUUUCUAGUAAAUCUUGAAAUCUACAUUUACUGACUAAAAGGACUUUGUACAAAGAAUCAUUUUGUCUUUGAGCCCUUUGCCUCUUUCAAUAUCAAAUUCUAUAUUCACUAGGAAUAAUUUUUCUUCUCUUUUGAACCUCUUUCACUAUACCAAAUUAUUUAGAAUGCCGUGUUUCAUCGUAGAGUCGCAUCUAUGCUUCAUUUGCGAUAUAUACAUACGAAUAUAUCUACAAAACAUAGAAUAUAAGAAUGUCGUCCUUAACUUACAAUGAAAAAUAUAGUCAUUUGAGAACGAAUUAGUUGUUGCUUCAAAAAAUGAUCUUAAGUGUGAUCUUUACAUUAAAUGUUUAAGGAAAAAAAAAAAAAAGGGAACUCGUUCAUUUAAGAUGACGAGAGAUUGUGUCUAUGUAUGGUAAAAAUAAUCGCUUUUAACAUCGUCAUGUAAAAGCAUGUUGAUUUUGACACAUUCGAAAGGUAAAGUAAAUGUCAAUAGUUAUCGCCACACAACAACUAGGACCGGAUUGAACGACAGUCGUCUAGUAUAUUCAAGAACAACUUGUAACUUAGGUACUCUCCCUACUCUCACGCUUGAAUGAAAUUUACAUUGUUUCAAUAUAAGAAAGAGGUAGUUAGCCAUUGCUCGACAAUAGCCCAUUUUUUCUUAUCGGUACCAAGAAGAUUGUUAACUUUCUUCAUAACCUUUUUCCACCCAGAGAUUGUUUUGUUCAUAAAUAUUGUGACAAAGUUGAAUCUCAAGACAUCAAAAUUAGAUUAUUAUUCAAACAUCCUAGAUUUGUUGCACGCAUCUUUGAAUGAUCAUUCUUCUCGUAUCUUUCAAAAUUUGUUGCGAUUUCUACAUCAUAAUAUUUUGUGUUCCUUGCACUUUGAUCUUCAUGUCUUAUUGCGACCCACAUUUCUAUAAUUUGCAUGAUUCGAUAAUUAUGCCAUGCAAGUUAUGGCAGAGAUCAAGCAUCAUGUAGUAAAUUUUAGAUGUAGAUAGAUAGUUAGCCCAACUGCAACACCCUGAGCUUUUCAACCCGAUCGUUAGCUAACAUACCGGCCCACUUAGCACUGGGGCAACACAAGCCCAACCCAUUGAAGGUAUUACUGCCCAAACUAAUAGUAGUAGAUGAGGUGAGAUUCCUAGAAUCAUAUUAUAUGAAAUAUAUUUCGGACGAUCGGAUUGACGUACAGUCUAAAGGAAUAAACUUUUUUACGUAGAGAACUGGAAAGAAUAGAAACAAUUGUUUCUAGUAUAAAAAAGGCAAGCUCUUACCAUCAUAAUCUGAACGAGUUCCUGAACGCAAUUGUUUUUAGGUGCAGGGCCAAUUGCAAUUUUUAUGCCUUGCUGUCUUCUAACCGAAAACUCAACUCGGUUAUGGGCUCGUUUCGGAGCCUUCUUUAUCCAGAGCAGUAAGUUAACUGAAUAGACAAGUGUUCUAGGAUCAGGAAAUACUAAAUAUUUUUCAUUGAGCACUCUGAGAUGAGUUAAGAUAGCCAAAAGACGAGAAAAUCAUAAAGCCCGAAUUUUUCUUAUGACCGUAGUGUAUAUUGAUUCUAUCUUUACCUAUUUACAUUUUUCCUCCUUCGAAUUUGAGUUGUGACAGCAGAAAACAUAGGUUCUUGUGUUGGAUUUUAUUCCCUGUCCUAAAAAAAAGUUUCGAACAUCCUACAAGAUAGAAAGAAACCUACAGGAAAAUCUGUCUUCAAGCCAUAAUUGAGGGAGGCCUAAGUUAUUUGAUUGUUAAUUCGGUUUUCUUCUAUAUUCUAUAUCCAAUGGUGUGGGAAAAAGUCAAAGAUCACACACUACAGCCUCGUUCGGGAAUAGUGAUACGACUUGAUAUACAAUGUAAUCAAGAUGUAUACAAUAAUGUUUGGGGGCUUAGGUUCCAAGCCCGUGAUUAGAAACACAGGGCCCGGAAUUGAAUCAAGCGUAUAAAUAAUAUUGAGUCCAAG